UACAGAGGUGGCAAGCGUUGUUCGGAAUUACUGGGCGUAAAGGGCGCGUAGGCGGCCUUCUAAGUCAGACGUGAAAUCCCCCGGCUUAACCUGGGAACUGCGUCUGAUACUGGGAGGCUUGAGUAUGGGAGAGGGAUGUAGAAUUCCAGGUGUAGCGGUGAAAUGCGUAGAUAUCUGGAGGAACACCUAUGGCGAAGGCAGCUCGCUGGGACGUUACUGACGCUGAGACGCGAAAGCGUGGGGAGCAAACAGG
rnacentral:rRNA from 1 species